rnacentral:misc_RNA from 1 species
GAUUUUGAGCUGGUUUUGAAGCUGUUCUUUAUCGUAAAGAUCUGAAUAUAUCCUUUGAUCACCUCUUAAAUAAACUAAAAUAACAAUUUAAGAUAAAGAGAAAAAAUAAAAAGAAGAGGGAAUAGAAAGAGAUGUUUUUUCUAUCUGGUAUAUGUAUAUUCUUAGAUGUUUGACUUGUUUGUGUAGAAGAAAAGAAAUUUUGGAUGAAUUGAUCCAGAAAAAGUGAAAGAAAAGGAGAAGGAUAUGCAACUUUUAUUCUAUUGCA